UUGCAGCCAUAUCUAACUGAAAUACCAGUUCUCAUACAAUCACUGAAGUUAAGCAAUGUCAAGCUUAAUCAGUAGCCAGAUGGGUGACUGUUUGGCAAUACCAGGUGCUGUAAG